CAAACGGCGAAACGAAACGUAUCGCGAUGUCUAUGACAGAGCGGCUGUCAGUGGAGCUGUCAAAUCACUUAGGAAUUUGUCGAUCGUGCGCAACCGCAAUUUGAUUAUUUUCGGGAAUGUAAUUCCUUUUAUUUCAAAUCGGGUGGUGCAAAAUGCAUCCACGAUAAUUUCUUGAUGAAUAAAUAAAAAUAACACACAUGAGGUAAGUUCCCGUCGGAGAAUUUAUUUAUUUUUCGUGAUUGAUAUUUUUCGUAUUCCAGUACGUGGUAUUUUAUGUGAUCGUUUCUUUCAGAGAUUCCCUAAAUCCUAUUCGGAUGAGGGUGGGUUGCUGAAAACUGCGAGUGAAGCUUAAAUUAGCGAACAGUUUUCAUGCGGGAUUUCAUAUUUUACACUAUUUUUAUAGACAUUUUAGAUAUUUCAAUAUUUCAUAUUGAUUUCUCAUCAUUUGGUAUAAAUUAUUUCUCCUUUCUAAACUGCUGAUCUCUUCGCAUUUCCUCCUUGUCAUCAAACCUCUGUCUCUGCAAGAGUUUGAACGCUUUCCUGUCGAGGAGACGCAAGAGCUUCAUCUGGCACUGCGCGCUUGAGGCCGUGGAGGACGCUGCUUGUAACCUAAAAGUGUGUGAGACCCGUUGGACUCCGGAAGAAGAGAGGAACGUUCAGGGUAACGGCUUAUAACCGCAUGGCUUCCAAGGUACCCACUUUUCCAUCCUUCAAGUAGGAGUCUUUCCGACCUGACUUCGCGCAGUUAUCUUAACUAGUAGAGUCUUUUAAUAUUUAGGCUGAGUUUUAAGAAAUUUGUAGUGGCAAUAAUAUUCACCAAACCGAACCUAAUUAACGACCCUGAAUCCCUUGAGAUUGGCACUAUUACAGUAGUUAUUAUAAUAUCGUAAUUGUUAACUUUAUACGAGCAUACGAGAUAAAAAUAAAUUGUGUCAAUUGA